rnacentral:rRNA from 1 species
UACAGAGGUCUCAAGCGUUGUCCGGAUUUAUUGGGCGUAAAGAGCUCGUAGGCGGCUUGGCAAGUCGGGUGUGAAAACUCCAGGCUCAACCUGGAGAUGCCACUCGAGACUGCUAUGGCUAGAGUCCGGUAGGGGACCACGGAAUUCCUGGUGUAGCGGUGAAAUGCGCAGAUAUCAGGAGGAACACCGGUGGCGAAGGCGGUGGUCUGGGCCGGCACUGACGCUGAGGAGCGAAAGCGUGGGGAGCAAACAGG